UCAUGUAAAUUUUUUUUUUUUUUUGGAAUCCAACAUAUGUUUUAGCGAUUACCUGUGACUUCUUCAAGUACAUGCUAGAUUGGUUAUUUAAGGGAAAAAGUUCCAUGCACUUGUUUAGUGUAAGAGCAAAAAUUUUUCCCAAAUGUUUAGUGUAUGCCCACUGUGGGGGUUGGUUUUUUACCGGGUUGGCCAUGCGUUCUUAAAUUCCAAGGGUGCCACGGGGUUUUGCAUACGUUCGGUUGAUAGAAAUAUCAUAUUAGAUCACGGUAUUUAAUGGGUAUUUUGUUUGAAAUGAAACAUUAGGGGGAGAAUAGGUGAAAAUAUUUUUUGACAUUUGGAUGUAUUGAAUUAAAGAGGAUCAUCAUGUUGAUGGGAAACAUGAUCUGCUUAAAAAAAAAAAAA
rnacentral:misc_RNA from 1 species